GCACCAAGCCACGACAAUGUCGACGUCCUCGCCGCAGUGGGACCAGGCGGCUCUCAUCGCAGCGCUCAACCAGAUGGCUCUGCAUCCGCCUUCUGCACCGGGCGGCGAGUGGGUUCUCGACAGCGGCGCCUCGUCCCACAUGAGCUCCGGUUCUGGAUUUGGCCACCAAGACGGUGCUUCUCCGAUGUGACUCCGUCGGCGAUCUCUACACCUUCAGUCCGCCUCGUCACUGCCUCACCACCGCCGUCACCGCCGACUUGUGGCACCAGCGUCUCGGCCACCCCGGAGCUGCCGUCCUUGCCAAAGCUUCUAGUUAUUUCGAUUUCAGCUGCAAUAAAACCGCGACGACCCAUUGUCAUGCUUGUCGUCUCGGCAAACACACUAGACUUCCUUUUAGUUCUUCUUCCUCUCAUACAUCUUUUCCCUUUGAACUUUGUCAUUGUGAUUUAUGGACAAGUCCACUCUUAAGUGUAUCUGGAUAUCAAUAUUAUUUAGUCAUUCUUGA